rnacentral:rRNA from 1 species
CCCAGUUCAGAUCGCAGUCUGCAACUCGACUGCGUGAAGUCGGAAUCGCUAGUAAUCGCGGAUCAGCAUGCCGCGGUGAAUACGUUCCCGGGCCUUGUACACACCGCCCGUCACACCAUGAGAGUCGGGAACACCCGAAGUCCGUAGCCUAACCGCAAGGGGGCGCGGCCGAAGGUGGGUUCGAUAAUUGGGUGAAGUCGUAACAAGGUAUC